UACGGAGGGGGCUAGCGUUGUUCGGAAUUACUGGGCGUAAAGCGCACGUAGGCGGUUUUGUAAGUCAGGGGUGAAAUCCCGGGGCUCAACCUCGGAACUGCCUUUGAUACUGCAAAUCUUGAGUCCGGAAGAGGUGAGUGGAAUUCCUAGUGUAGAGGUGAAAUUCGUAGAUAUUAGGAAGAACACCAGUGGCGAAGGCGGCUCACUGGUCCGGUACUGACGCUGAGGUGCGAAAGCGUGGGGAGCAAACAGG
rnacentral:rRNA from 1 species